CCUUUGGAGUGUCAUAUCAAACUAAAGUAGUCUAUGUUUAUCAAGACAAAAUAGGACACGUUGAAUAAGGAA
rfam:Clostridium sp. CAG:221 genomic scaffold, scf136